rnacentral:rRNA from 1 species
AAUUUUGGACAAUGGGGGAAACCCUGAUCCAGCCAUCCCGCGUGUAUGAUGAAGGCCUUCGGGUUGUAAAUUACUUUUGGCAGAGAAGAAAAGGUAUCUCCUAAUACGAGAUACUGCUGACGGUAUCUGCAGAAUAAGCACCGGCUAACUACGUGCCAGCAGCCGCUGUAAUACGUAGGGUGCAAGCGUUAAUCGGAAUUAAUGGGCGUAAAGAGGGUGUAGGCGGUUCGGAAAGAAAGAUGUGAGAUCACAGGGCUCAAACUUGGAACUGCAAUUUUAACUGCCGAGCUAGAGUAUGACAGAGGGGGGUAGAAUUCCACGUGUAGCAGUGAAAUGCGUAGAUAUGUGGAGGAAUACCGAUGGCGAAGGCAGCCCCCUGGGAUAAUACUGACGCUCAGACACGAAAGCGUGGGGAGCAAACA